CCCCCGUCACUAACUAUAUUUUUGUGCCUGUCACAAGUCAGAUGUCUGUUAUUCAGUGUGUGUCGUUUGUUACAGUGUUACAUACUUGUUGGUUUUUUGUUAAUUUUUUUUGUACAUAAAUUGCGCUGUUAGUUUUCUCGUUUUAAUAUUUUUUUCAUUUGUCAUUUCGGGGCCUUUUAUAGCUGAAUCCGCGUUAUGGGUUUUGCCUAUGAUUUAAGGCCUUAUGGUGGCCGAUACUAGUAGUUGUUAAUCAUUGUGUCAUUCGGUCUCUUGCGAGUAGUUAUUUUAUUGACAAUCACAUCGCAUCUUCUUUUUUAUACUGAUACGAAUUUAGUCAUUUCAGUUCUUAUACAUCCUUGGCGAUCAAACGUUCGGCUCUGAGUCUUCUUAGUGAUGGUAAAUACAGACAAAAAUACCCUUGGAUACAUCAAAUCUUUAAUGGUUUGUUUUCUGAUUUCUAAAAUAAAAAUUUGUUUUUGAGAGCCGUUGUGUGUGUCCUCCUUAAAGAAAAUUAGCGAGGUGACAUUUUGCGCAAUGGUUUUUUAUCUCGAGAUAAUCGACAACAUCCAGUCGCAAAAAAUUGCCAUUUUCACUGCAGAACAUAUACAUUGCACCAAUUAAGAUCGGAACUUUUUUAAUCGUUU
rnacentral:lncRNA from 1 species